AUGUUCAUCAUGCAUAUCAUACAUAGUGAUGGAGGGCCAUUUUUGGAAUAUAGAUAUAUAGCAGAGACGUUUCAAAUUAAAAGUUCCUUUAUUUGAAGCUAUUAUUGAGUCCCUCAACUAAAAGAAAGUUGAUGACCCCAUAACUUAGUGGAGCCAAUGUAUCCCUAUUCGAUAGCCAAAGACUAAUUCAUUUCGAGUACAAAGCAACAAAAAGGGGAAGUACAAGCAACAACUGGCAUUAUUAUUUCCAGAAUGAUAAGGGUCCCCAGAUUGAGACAUAGCAUAAUGCUACUUGCAUUUGUCCAUCUCUGAAGUAUGUACUCUUUCUACAAUGCUUCUCAAAUUUUAUCCACAUAGUUGAUGAGAAAUCUUUCCAUCAAUUCUAGAACACAAUUU